UUCUCAAAGGGGAAUUAAAUGAGGCUUGAGUCUAAUGCCAACUAGAAGUUAGAUAGCUCUCAAAGUCUUUUUUCUUCAUUGGGCGUUGUGCCCGUCCUUGCUUAGGAGUCGCGGUGAUAAACAACAUAUAUAUAUAUUUUUUAAUGUCUUCCAUUGGGCGUCGUGGUGUUGGGUGCGUUGGUGCCAUGGUGCUGAGGCUCAAUCACGCCUUGAGGCCUCUUUCCCAAUUGGGGUGCCACAAUGCUGAUCCCGUGGAGGCCAUUGUGUUUAAAGCUCUUUCUUAAUCAUUCAGACUCUACUACAUUACUUCAACUUCAACAUAAGUGUCACCACUUCUGUGCUGAAAUGGGCAAAGUGUUAAACAUGAAAGUUGUAUCUCCAUUUCUUAACUUUCUAAUGGUUCAUGAAUUAUGUUAAUUGGGCUUUUUUAGUAAAAGAUAUGAUCAAAAUACCAAAACAUGUGUAGAUGAAGUUUGCACCUCACAUGUAUCUCCUUCACUAAACAAGCCCUCUUUUCAAAACAUAGCUAUAAAACAAAAACUUGACUUAAACUAUAACUAAACAAAAAAAAAACAUCGUAAAAUAACUUAACACAAUUGAACCCAAUAUAAUUAAAUUGAAUAAAAUAGAUGGCGAAAAACUCCUAAUGCUUAAAUUAAAUCUCAAGAACUUAGAUAAAAUAUAGUAGAAAUUAAAACCAAAUAACUUUAUAAAAUAGAGUUAUCAAUGGAUCGUACCCAUGUAGGUCCAUGCAUCAAUCAUGUUACAGAAAUGGGAUGUGACAAUGUGGGUAUCGCCCACUAGACCCUAGUAAGUUACUUUACAUUACUCAAUCAUAAAUCAAUCACAUAUAGCUCAUUUGUCAUCAUUAUCAUCAUGCAUGCAUAAAGUAUUAGUCAUCAUAAAUAGAAACAUUUAUGCAUAACUGCAAACACAUGAUUACAGACUUCUCAACAUAAGCUGUGAAUACAAUUUUCAUUCACAAUUACUUGUACCCAGUACAAUUCAUAAAAAUUCUAGAAAUACACCUCAAGUGCUCAUAUGGGCUCACACACCAUCAUUUUUAACAUUCACAUAUAUGCGUAUAAGUAACUUGCCAUUCAAUGGCUUAGCAUCUCCAUGAGUGGAUAUGGGAAGGGGACAAAUUGAAGGGUUAGAGCUUUUGCAUAAAUACAUCCUUUAAGUAUCAUGCACAUAUAAACCUUUAAAUACACAUUUAAUGAACUUAUAAAAGAAUAGUCUUGCCUUUGAAGAAGUUUCAUAAAUCCAUUGAAAAUGAAUAUCAAACCUUUAAAUCAAUGAAUAGCAACUUUAACAAACAUUGAAAAUAACUUUCAUAGAUUUUGAAUGCCCAUAAUUCUUUAAAACCCCAUUUGAAAGUAAAAUCGUUGCAUGGCAUCCAAAAGGGUUAACUUGUCACCACCCAAACCAAGGGGCCAUGACUAGUGCAAGAGUCUAGUAGGUAGGGCUCACAAUGAAAGGGAUUCAAAUUAGGCUCAAGCAGAUCAUGCGCACUAGAAUAUUAAAAUUUUAAUCCCUUAAGCCAUGGAUCACUUUAAUGGAAACUAAUCUAGAAAAACCAUAAAAGAAAGAUUUUGACAUACUUGAAAGUUUGAUGUCAACUUUAUUUGGUGGAGUCCUCCUUGGGUUUUUGUUUUUGACUUUUGUACACCAACUAAGACUUAUCAAACUAUAGCAACACAAUUGUCUUGCCUCUAAUAGUGAUCCACAUAAUCAUUUGCAAAAAUCUCUUCACUGAGAGUGUGUGAAUUCCUAAGCCAAAGUUUGUGCGAGCAAACUCUCAACUUUGAGCUCCUUUGUGUUUCUCUCUUUUUAGUUGUGAUCUAUCUCAACACAUGAGAAAAUAAAAACAUAACUCUUUUAUAUGUUUAAGAGGUGGCUAAAGGAUUCUUUUAUAGAGUGAAUUGACCUACUUUAUAUCUAACAAGGAUUAGAAAAUGUCUUAGGCUAAUUGGGCUUUUAAUUAAUAUUCCAUCAAAUCAUCUUUGAUUUAGCUCAAUACUUUAUCAGAUUAGGCCUAUAUAAAAUCAAUUAGAUCACAUCCAAUUGAACUCAAAUUAUUUUCAACAAUUCACCUUAUGUGUGUGACCUAUUAAGUGCCCAAUAUGUUGGCAAUAAAUAUAAAUUAAUUCAAUUAAAAAUUUAAAUUUAUAUUUAUAGAUUAUGAGCAGUAUCUAGCAAUACAUCAUGACCACCCAAAUGUCAAGAGAGUCAAUAUGAUUUGACUAACCUUUUAGUGUACACUACUUAAGUGUAGUUCAGUCCUUUCAUCAUAUAUCUCGUAUAGAUAGAAAGCUUAGCUUGAUGUCUACUUUCCAAUUAAUCCAUAUUAGUUAUACAGUUGCCAUAUUGACUUAUCGAGAUUGCCUUGGCCAAGGACUUUUAGUCAAUAUAAGCCAAGAGCAAAUGAGAUCCCCUUCAAAUCACUUGGGGUGAUGAAUCCUCUCUAAACUACUCAUUCAUCUGUGCAUGCUUCAUGCCAUAAACAAAGACACCUUGUUUAGGCAUCUAGUUGUCUGCAGACUUGUAGGGAUGAAAUUAAAGCAUGAUAAUUCACAUACAAUAUGAUCUAGUAUCACAAUUCACAUACAACAUUUGAGUAUUUCAUUAAACACUUAAGUGAAAUACCGAAUGAAAGUCUUGUAACGAUCAUGUUCAGUAAACUUGUUCCUUAACAAGCACCCACUCACUAUCCUCAAGUAUCUCACAUACUUUAACCUAUGAGAUCGAUUGCUUACUUCAAAAGUAAAGAGGCCUACCAUGUACCAAUUUUUUAGCAUUUUUGUGAAAUCUCACCCUAAUGUCAGAUUUCUUAGUUAGCAAAUCCUUAGAUGAGCAAGUUAAAUUGUGUUUUACGCACUUGAAAUUUUGUUUUAUAAUUAGAAAAUUUCAUGUUUAAAUGUUUUCAAAUGAUAUACAUAGUUUGGUUUGAUAUCAAGUCCAAUUCAACAAGGUUUUGACUUGAUUUUUAGCUAUUGGAGCUUAUCUAUGGAUAGAUGUUGAUAACUCUAUUAUAUAGAGUUAUUUUGACACAUUUUGGGGGCUUAAGUAGUUAAAUCUUUGAGAUUUUAGGUUCAAAUCCUAAUAUUUUAAGUGUUUGUCUAGUUUAAGUUUGAUUACAUGUUGAGUUGUUAAUUUAAGCUAUUUUAGCUAAAUUUUACGUUAUUUUGUUUUAAAGUACUUUAAGAGUAGUAUUGGUAAUUUCUUUUAUUGCUUUUGUAGGAAAUUUGAUGAAAAUUCAUGCAAGCAUGACAAUUGCUUCAUUCAUAUAUAUUGCGGUAUUUUGACUAUAUCUAUCCAUACAAAACUCCAAAUGAAGUGAUUCUUAGACCACUAGACUUCUAAGAGGAAGGUCUAGAACUUUUAUGUUUACCACUUUACCAGUUCAGAUUGUAUAAUGGUCAAAAUAUUUGUCUAAGUUGGAGCACUACAGCAAUAUGCAGGGACUGAACAUGAUGCAGAAUUUGGAGCAUAUCUUUCAAUCCAAAAGUCCAAUUACAUUAUUCUUAAGCUAUUGGAAAGUUAAAAGAUGGGCCUACAACUUUUCUGUUUAUCACUUCUCCCAGUUUGGAUGAGAUUAGGGUGAAUAUCAUGUUCGAAUUUGAUAAACCAUCGUCGCACUGGGAGAACACGACUGUAGCAUUGGUGAAAGAAAGCUCACCAUACAAAUUUCUUAAGAGCUCAGUGCUACAGUGCUAGUAUAGCAAAAAUCCAGUGCCACAGUGUUAAGAAAUCAAGGCCGAGGCACUUAGCGAUUUUCCAAAAAUAAAAAUUUGAUUGGAUUUUGGAAAUUAGGUUACUUGAAGCCUAUUUAAGGGACCUUUUUCAAAGGUUUUAAAGGGGAGGCAGAAACCAACUAUUAUGGAGAUUUGGAUCCAAGAACAAAGCAAGAAAACAAAAGAAUUUGAGAGGGAAUUGAGAUCAUAAAGCUUCAAUAAUUAGUUUCUUUCUCUACUUUUGUGUUUUUUUUUUCUUUAACUUGGAUUCAUGGCUAAAUUUCUUUGGAUGUUGUUUUUAUUAGUUAUUAUGAGCUAAACUAUAUUUCUAGUAUUGUGGUGGAUUUCAACAUGCAAUUUGAAUAUUAUUUUCUCUUUUAUUUUUCAUGAAUGGGUGUAGUUUUGCUUAUUUAAAUAUGUUCUUCAUGCUUUUCAUUGUUUGACCAACAAUUAACUGAUUUGUGAAUCUAAUUGAGACUCGACAAAGAGAUUUUAGAUUGAACUAAGGUAUGACUGGUGUAUGUUCACGUCACUUAGGUGAUCUGAUUUACGAUUCGGGUAGACAUGUGCCAAUUGCCAUACAUAGCCACAUUAGGACACUUGCUUAAUGAACUUAAUUUAAUUGAUUCCUAUAGACAUAUAAUGAACUAAUUAAGUUAGGUAUUUGUACAAGCAACUCGACGGAGACUUGUCCAUAGCUUUGGAUUCUAGGUUAGUAAAACCACAUAAGAAAAAAAAUAACAAGAAAAGCUGGUAUCAAAUGAAAUGUUGAAUGAACCCAUAAUCCUAGGUCUUUAAUAUACUGCUUUUCUCAACUUAUCUAGUUUGUUAGUUAAUUUAGUCUUUAUUUUAAUUUUGUUUUAAUUAAGUUUUUGCAAAUUUUGAUUACUUAAAUAAGAUUGAUUUUUUAUAAGAUUUUAGUACUUAGUAAAAAUUUAGGAACAAAUUUCUGUGGGAACGAUACUCUACUUCAUCACUAUAUUACUAGUUCGAUAUGUAUACUUACAUGUGCAAAAUCGACAACAGAUGUCUAUCAAUAGAUUUUUUUUGUUUGAAUCUAGAAAUGAUUUGGAUGAAUAUCUAUCGAUAGAUAUUCAUCAUCUAUAGAUAUAUGAGUGACAUCUAUCGACAGAUAGAAAUCUAAGAACUUUUUAAAAUGGUUUUGAAGCUAAUCUAUCAAUAGAUGCGCUCGAUCUAUCGAUAGAUGACACUGUUUUUAGAAAACUAAUAGGGACAAAAUGGCAUUUUUCUCAUGUAAAACUAUAACUAUGGCACAUUAUUCGAGGGUUAGCAACCUUCAGUAGUAGUUUUACAAGGCAAACCUCUUCUAAAACCCUUUUAACUCAUUUUUGAAAAAAAAUCAUUCCUUUUAAUAAUUCUAAGCUUUGUUUUAAGACUUAACGAUAAAAAUGACAUUUUUAAGCUUUGAAACCCAAAAGCUGAAAAUGACAUUCUAGAAAUUUUGUUUCUUGCUCUAGAAAUUCUAUUGGAGGAUUAAAGUUAAAGGUUUUAUGAUUUUUCAAGUUAUCGAAGCUCAUCUAAGGUAAGAGUAAAAGAUUUACUGAUUGUAGAAUGGGUUUAGUAAGAGAAAAUAGACUUAGUCAAUAGCGAAUAACUUUCGAAAGCUCUUAGAAUGAUUAUUUCGAGGUUGUUAGGCUAUAAAUUAAUUGAUAUGAUUAUAGUGUGAUAGGAACAAUCGUAAAGUCUAAGGAAAUCACCGGAGAUAGGUUAUGAUUGAGUUUUUGAUCGAGGUGAGUGGACAUAACACUUUAAAAACUAGUUUGACAAGUAAAGUUGAAGCAUGAUUUGAGAAAUUUCAAUAAGUAUGAUUUUCUAUAAAUACAUGUGAAUUGAAAAAUAAUUUUGGAUGAGAAAAAUAUUUUGAAAUUUUCUUUCAAUCUACUAUGUAUAUAAAUAUUCUAUUAGGUAUUAGUUCUCAGCAAUGGGGGACAAGCACCUUGUUGUUUGAAGCACUCAAUCACUCUAGUCUUCUAACUAGUAUGGGUACAGGAUAUGAUUAAUGCAUAUGCUAAAUAUGUUUAGACAUGAAACAUGUGAUGGAUUGCAUGAUGAUUUUGUUGGUAUAUGCCCAUGAGCCAAUCGGAUUAGUCAAGGAAUAUAUAAUGUCAUUUAAUGCAUACUUAAUCACAUAACUACAUGUGAUAGAGGCUUUCCUUCAUGCUAGUGCAAUAAUAAGGAGUUAUUAAGUACGAAUUAGAUGAAACCCAUUGAACCUAAAGGCCUUGCAAGAGAAUUGUAAAGUUCUUACAAUUAUGAGAUCACUAUGCAUCAAAGCCAUGUUCCUAAAAUUGUUCCUGUUUAUUCUUUUGUAAAGAUAGGACAUCGACAAUGCUCAAAGACUAGUACAUUUUAAGCCUCCUUACUUAGGAAGUAAGCAAUCGAUCUCAUAGAUUGAAGUAUAUGGGAUACUUGAGGAUAACAUAUGGGUGCUCGUUAAAGAACAAGUUCACUAAACAUGAACUACAAUGAGAACUCCAUUUGGUAUUUCACUCAAGUGUCUAUGGAAUAUGUUCUCAUGUCAUAGUCGUCAACUAGUGCUCAAACUUGAGACAUUAGGUCAUCUUGUGUGGGGAAUGAUAUACUUUGAUUUCACCUCUACGAGUCUAGAGGCGACCAGAUACCUAAACAGGGUGUUUUUGGGUAUGCCAUGAAGCAUGAGAAAGCAUUGAGUGGUCAAGAGAGAAUUCAUUAUCCCAAGUGAUAUGAGGGGAUGUAUCUCACUUGUUCUCAAUUCUUGAUUAACUUGUAUAAAGUCUUUGGCCAAGCAUUAUGAAUUUGAAGAAAGCUAGUUUCCUAAAUUCAUAAAGUUAGUCAUAAAUUAUGAGAACUAAUAUGGAAUGUUAUAAGUAGACACUAGGCCAUGCUUUUCAACAUAUCUGAGAUAUUUGAUGAAAGGACCGUAUUGCACUGAGAGGCUUAUCACUGAAGGGCUUUAUCAAAUUCUUUGAUUGGCUUUUUAAUAUUUAGAUGGUCAUGAUGUAUUGCUAGAUACCACUCAUGAUCUAUAAAUAUAAAUCAAUUAUUAAAUUGAUAUUUGAUUAGGAUUUAUAUUUAUUGCCAACAUGUUAGAAGCCUAAUGGGUCACACACAUUAAGUGACAUGAUUGAGAUUAAAUAAGGCUGAUCAAUUAAGAUGGACUUAAUUAGAAUAGACCAAAAUAAAGUAAAAAAUUAAUAAAGUUCACAAAGACUUAAUUAAAUUAAAGUACAACUGUUGUAUCUAGGGUUACAACUUAGUUUGGCUAUGUAAAUAUGUUAUAAACUAAAACUCUAAGCCUCUAGCCACUCCUUAGUCAUUUCUUAAAAUUAGAAAAGAAAAAAAUAGUUUUCUUUAUAUAACAAAAAUAAGAUUCAACAAAAAAUUUGGUCUUUUUGUUUUAGAAACAAAACUUGCUAACACAAGUAAAAUCUUACCUUUGAAAAGGUCUUAUUUAGUCAUUGUGUGGAUUACUGUUAAAAGCCAAACUCUUGGGUGGCUAAGGAUUUAACAAAUCCUAAAGGUGUAGAAGCAAAGAUUUCAAUUACAAGAUUUUAGACUAUCUUAUUCUUUUUCAAGUUUCUUGCUUAAUCACAAACCUUUUGGAUUUAAAGCUCUUGAUUAGAAUAUCUAGAGUAAGGUAUGUAACUCUUGAAAUUAUUAAUAUUCAUAAUUAAUUUGAAAAUUACAUGAAAAAUAAAAACAUUAAUUUUGUAGGAUUUGGUUGUUUCUUUGAUUAAAUGUUAGUUUAUUAUUCCAUUGCAUUAUAUAUUUUAAUUUCUUGAUUAUUUUCAUAUUUGAGCAUGAGGUCAAAUCCCAACAGUGGUAUCAGAGCCUUGUUUGAGGUUUUCAUAUAAUAUGCAUGCUUCAUUCUUGUGAUAAUCAAUAUGAUUGAUUUGUGUGUUGAUUUGGUGUAUAUCAAUUUUGAAGCCUUUAACAGUAUUUUAAUUGAUUUGAUGUUUUUCAAUAUGAUUUAUCUGUUUUUCUAUUUUAAUUCAAAUCUGAACAGCAUGUAAUUAACUCAUUAAAACAUGUUUUAAAAUGUUUAAAAUCAUGUUUAGUUGAAGAAUUAAUAAUUGGAUUAAAAAGCUUGCAAAGCAGAGUUGAAAUCGGAUAGUUUUGAGAUGUUUUGAAGAUUAAUGUGCCAAUUAUAUUUUUAGUAACAUUGGGUAAGUGUUAUGAGUAGUUUUUAAUUGUUAAAAAUUAGUUUUAUCAAAUUAAAUUACUGCAUGUUUCGGCCAAACUUGAUUUAGUAGCUUUUUGUUCAUAAAAAUCAUGUUUUCGAGUUCGAAAACAACAAAGAUUCAAUGUAUUAAAUUUUGGGUACCUAUGAUCGGUUUUGGUGGCUUAAUUCUUCAUGAAUUUUAUGUUUAAUUGUUAAACACACUUAUUGGAAAUUUCCAGUAGCUUUUUCAUGAGUUUGACUCAUAAUUUAUGGAGUUUGAAGAGCACUUAAAUGCCAUCUAUUUUAAUUGUGGGUGAGUCAUAAAAAAAUAGGAAAUUAUUUCCUACUUUAAUAGAUAAUCCUUAAAUUACGAAUAAUAUUUUCAUUUGGAAAAUUCAUAGGAAAUAGUUUCCUACUUUAAAAGAAUUUCCUAAAGUUCUGUGGUAGCAUUGAACUUUCCUUAAAAUUUUGGUUUAACUAGAAGUUUCCAAAAUUUGUUAAGUCACCAUUUAGGUAAUUUGAACAGCAUACAAGUUAGGAAAUUAAUCCAUGUUCUAAAUGUUAGAAAUUAAAAUGUUGAGUUAGAUAUAUUUCAGGAAGUUUACCUAAAAUAAAGAGGUUUCCAAAAUUAAAAGGAGUUUUAAUUAUGGAAAGAAUGAAAAUGGAAUGUCUUAAAAAAGGAAAAUUUUAUUUCAAUGAAUUUCUAAUAUGAAAUAAGAAGUAAAAGGUUUACUCUAAGUGCUUUGAAAAUGGAAAUUUCUUAAGCACUAAAUUGAAAUAAAACAAUACCAAAUAAUUUGAGUUGGCACUUUAAGUGAAUUAAUUGAUGUUUUUCUCAAAUAACACACAAGAUCACCAAGUGAUAUUGAGCUUGCAAUUAAUUCUAUGCUUUUGAUUAUGAUUAUAAAGCAUGAGGAUGAUUAUAGACUUAGACCUUAGAAGAUUAGGUCAUGGAUGAUUAAAUUUAUUUCUUAUGUUAUUUAUUUUAAAAUAGGGUCUGCGCACCCUGCCUUAUUUCUAUGUUCUCUUAGGUUGUAAAAUUCUUUUCUCACCUAACUCCCUUCGAAUGUUACUCAAGGUUUCUUGAUUAUAGAAUGUAAUUAGUUACAUCAAAGUGUAAAACUAGGGUUAGAUAGAAAAAUUUUUGUAACUUGAAGAUUGAGAUUUGAACGUGCCAUGGAGAUUUAAGGAAAUUACAAGCAAAGCUUGAAGACAUGAUUGCAAAAUACUUUAGGAAUUUGAACAACUAAUUUCCUUAAUGGCUCGAGAAAAUUAGAAUUAGUAAAAUCCAUAAUCGUCCUAGCAGUUGGCAUAAGAUAGAUUUAUUUUUCAGUAUAUAUAUAUGAUAUAUGUGAGAUGCGAUUAAUGUUAUGCAUGUCAACAACGUCGAAUCAAUGAGACCUUAAUUAAUAAGUUAAUAAAGAAGAAUCCCUCAUUAAUACAUUGAGUCAAAAAGUUACCUUCCACCAUAUCACAAGAUAACUAGGCUGCUCUUUUAAUUGGAAGCUUGUUGUUACGACCCAGUACUCUCCUCGAGCCCGUGACAACCGUUGCGAUGUCUCGAUACACAUUCAUUACCCUAAAUGCCAAUCGAAAC
rnacentral:lncRNA from 1 species